rnacentral:rRNA from 1 species
GACGAACGCUGGCGGCGUGCCUAAUACAUGCAAGUAGAACGCUGAAGGAGGAGCUUGCUUCUCUGGAUGAGUUGCGAACGGGUGAGUAACGCGUAGGUAACCUGCCUGGUAGCGGGGGAUAACUAUUGGAAACGAUAGCUAAUACCGCAUAAGAGUAGAUGUCGCAUGACAUUUGCUUAAAAGGUGCAAUUGCAUCACUACCAGAUGGACCUGCGUUGUAUUAGCUAGUUGGUGAGGUAACGGCUCACCAGGGCAACGAUACAUAGCCGACCUGAGAGGGUGAUCGGCCACACUGGGACUGAGACACGGCCCAGACUCCUACGGGAGGCAGCAGUAGGGAAUCUUCGGCAAUGGACGGAAGUCUGACCGAGCAACGCCGCGUGAGUGAAGAAGGUUUUCGGAUCGUAAAGCUCUGUUGUAAGAGAAGAACGAGUGUGAGAGUGGAAAGUUCACACUGUGACGGUAUCUUACCAGAAAGGGACGGCUAACUACGUG